rnacentral:rRNA from 1 species
AGAGUUUGAUCCUGGCUCAGGAUGAACGCUAGCGGCAGGCCUAACACAUGCAAGUCGAACGGUAGGAAUUAGCAAUAAUUCCGAGAGUGGCGCACGGGUGCGUAACACGUAUGCAACCUACCUCCAACUGGGAAAUAGCCCGGAGAAAUUCGGAUUAAUGUCCCAUAGUAAACAGAUACAGCAUUUUAUUUGUUUUAAAACUACGGUGGUUGGAGAUGGGCAUGCGUUCUAUUAGCUAGUUGGUAAGGUAACGGCUUACCAAGGCUACGAUAGAUAGGGGGCCUGAGAGGGUUAUCCCCCACACUGGUACUGAGACACGGACCAGACUCCUACGGGAGGCAGCAGUGAGGAAUAUUGGACAAUGGUCGGAAGACUGAUCCAGCCAUGCCGCGUGCAGGAAGACGGCCCUAUGGGUUGUAAACUGCUUUUGUUUGGGAAGAAACCCCCCUACGUGUAGGGGUCUGACGGUACCAUACGAAUAAGCACCGGCUAACUCCGUGCCAGCAGCCGCGGUAAUACGGAGGGUGCAAGCGUUAUCCGGAUUUAUUGGGUUUAAAGGGUCCGUAGGCGGGUCCAUAAGUCAGUGGUGAAAUCCUGCAGCUCAACUGUAGAACUGCCAUUGAUACUGUGGACCUUGAAUUCGGUUGAAGUGGGCGGAAUAUGGCAUGUAGCGGUGAAAUGCGUAGA